rnacentral:lncRNA from 1 species
UCACACCGUGUCGUAAAGUCUAUAAGUCUGUCUAUGAGAGGAAGAGGAAAGUUAUCCUUCGGCCAUCCUUUGUUUAGGUUGGUGUAGUCGACACAUAUUCUCCACAAGACCUUUUGGAGCAAGAGACUUUCUUUGGUCGGAUUUUUCUUAACAAUGACCACAUUUGCUACCCAUGUUGGGUAAUUGACUUCGCGAACGAAGCCUAUGCCUUUGAGUUUUUCAACUUCUGCCUUCAUUGCUUCGUAUCGUUCAACGUCAUAAGAUCUUCGCUUCUGUCUCACCGGGUUGGUCUUGGGGAUCAAUACUCAAGUGAUGACAUAUGAUAUCGGGAGAGAUGCCUGGCAUGUCCUCGUAUGACCAGGCAAAGACCUCAGUGUUCUCUUGCAAAAAAGAGAUCAAUGCCAACUAAAUGUGUGGUGACAAGAUGG